CUUCCCUCCCCUAAAAUUCGCACAGAUUCGCUCCAUCCCCAACCUCCCCGGCGCCCUACCGCCUCCUCCCCUCAUCGCCGCCCCUCGCCAGCCGUCCGUCCUGCACGCAGACUCUCGCUGCCGACCCUGUCUAGUCUGCCCACAGACCCUCCGCUCCCUCCCCGCCGUCCUUCACUUCUGCCCCUGCCGCCCCUCUCUCUUGCAGCGGAGCAGAAGCGGAAGCGCCGGGAGAAGAUCAACCGACGAUUCAUUGAGCUAUCCACCGUCAUCCCCGGCCUCAAUAAGAUGGACAAGGCGAUGAUCCUUUCGGACACCAUGAAGUACGCAGUAGCAGGAAAAUCUCAAGGCACUCGAGGACGCAACGUCCAGCUCCAGAGCAUCCAGUCCGCGGUGCUCGUCAGGAAGUUGUGCACAGCUGCGCCGGAAGACGCCGGCGGCUGCUGCCUGUCAUCUUCUGCAGCGGCCGUAGCUGGAAGCACGACGCCGACGACCGGGAAAGUGCUGCUGGAGGCGAGAAGGACAGCUGGAGUCGCCGCCGUCGCUUAUGGAGCUCCACACCAUUGCCCAGUUGUACAAUAGUAUGUGCAAUCUUCUCCAUUCAAGACUAAGUGCAAAUGGUGAACUCUUGCCAAACAAGAAGAUAUGAGGAUCAGGCAUAUAGGCCCCCAUAAGGUAGCUAUAUAGUAAUUCAUGUAUAGUAGUGUGGAUUAUGGUCACAUUUUGUCUAGGACUGCAGAUAGCUAUGUCAAUUAAAAUGGAUAUUCUGCAUAUAUUCUGAAUUUUGAGUAAGGGCUUCAUGUAUAAGGUAUGCAGUAGUUUUGACUUGGGGCACUGAUCAAUUCUUCACAUGCAGGAACAUGGAGAGAUGAAUCUGGUCGAUUGUAGCCACAAG